ensembl:lncRNA
GGUGCCUACAACUUCAGAGAGUACAACAGCAGAAACCACGACUACAGCUUCAUCAACAAUUUCUACAACAACAAACAAUCCAACAUCAAAAGCUGUAACUUCAGCAUCCACAGCUCUCACUUCAACAACAGUGCCUGCAUCUUCAGAAACAACUGCACCUGUAACAACUUCAGUAACUACAGCAUCCUCAACUACUGAAAUUCCUACAACCACAGUUGUGAGUACAGAAACCACACCUAUUACUUCAACAGUGGUGCAUUCAACUUCAGAAAGUACAACACUAGAAACCACGACUACAGCUUCAUCAUCCACACCUGCAACAACAAACAAUCCAACAACAUCAACAGUUGUACCUUCAGAAUCCACAACUCUCACUUCAACAACAUUGCCUACAUCUUCAGAAACAACUGCACCUGUAAAAACAUCAGUAACUACAGCAUCCUCAACUUCUGAAAUUCCCACAAGCACAGUUGUGAGUAAAGAAACCACACCUAUUACUUCAACAGUGGUGCCUACAACUUCAGAGAGUACAACAGCAGAAACCACGACUACAGCUUCAUCAUCCACACCUGCAACAACAAACAAUCCAACAACAUCAACAGUUAUACCUUCAGAAUCCUCAACUCUCACUUCAACAACAUUGCCUACAUCUUCAGAAACAACUGCACCUGUAACAACUUCAGUAACUAAAGCAUCCUCAACUAUCAAAAUUUCCACAACCACAGCUGUGAGUACAGAAACCACACCUAUUACUUCAACAGUGUUGCCCACAACUUUGAAGAGUACAACAGCUGAAACCAUGACUACAGCUUCAUCAACCACACCUACAAAAACGAACAAUCCAACAACAUCAACAUUUGUAACUUCUGAAUCUACAACUCCUACUUCAACAGUUAUAGCUACAUCUUCAGAAACAACUACACCUCUAACAAAAUCAGUAACUACAGCAUCCUCAACUACUGAAAUUCCCACAACCACAGUUGUGAGUACUGAAUCCAUAACUCUUACUUCAACAGCUAAGCCUACAUCUUCAGAAUCUACUGCAACUGUAACAUCAGUAACUACAGUAUCCUCAAAAACCUAUAUUCCCACAACCACGGUUGUGAGAACAGAAACCACACCUAUCAUUUCGACAGUGGUGCCUACAACUUCAGAGAGUACAACGGCAGAAGCUAUGACUACGGCUUCAUCAACUAUAUUUACAGCAAAGAACACUCCAACAACAUCAACAGCUGUAACUUCAGAAUCCUCAACUCUCACUUCAACAACAGUGCCUACAUCUUCAGAAACAACUGCACCUGUAACAACAUCAGUAACUACAGCUUCCUCACCUACAACUGUACCUUCCUCUAUGACAUCAGCUCCAAUGUCAUCUGAAGCUCCAAGUACAACAACAUCUAAAACCACAUUGCUGCUUGCAACCACAUCUACUGGAGCUCUCACAUCCACUGUUGUGACUUCAGGAGCAACAACUCUUACGUCUACAACAAUGCCUACAACAUCAGAAAGUACAACUACACCUGCAGCAAGCACAACUGCAGCUUCCACAGCCACAGUGGGGCCAUCCACUACUGUGACUACAGCUUCCGAAAUUACAACUGCAUCUUCAACAUCUACAGCUUCCUCAGCUGCGAUAGUGCAUUCUACUACUACAUCAUCAUCUCCAACCUCAUCUGAAUCUCGAGGUACAGCAACUAAUUAUCCAACAACAUCAACAGCUGUAAUUUCAACAACAAUGGCUACAUCUUCAGAAACAUCUGCACCUGUAACAACAUCAGUAACUACAGCUUCCUCAUCUAUAAAUGUACCUUCCUCUAUGACAUCAGCUCCAAUGUCAUCUGAAGCUCCAAGUGCAACAACAGCUCAAACCACAAUGCCACUUGCACCUGCAACUACUGAAACACUCACAAUCACCAAAAUGACUUCAGAAACCACAACUGCACCAACAACAUCGAUAACUACAACGUCCACAACUACCACUGUAGCUUCAACGACAACAGCAGCUUCUCUUGCAACAACCACAACUACAGCUUCCAUCACCACAACCAUUCCUUCCACUUCUACAUCAGAUCAAACCACACCUAAGGCUGCAAGUACAACAUCAAAAGGUCCGAACACAAAUUCAGAAAGUAUAACUUCACCUGCUGUAACCACAGAUUCCACAACCAUGAUGGAAUAUUCAACUACUACAUCAAGUUUAACCCCAGCCACAACUACUGAAACCUCAACUCUUACUUCACCAACAAUGUCUACAACUUCAGAAAGUACUCCUGCACCUGCAACAUCCACCAUUACAGCUUCCUCUUCUACGAAUAACUAUCCCACAACAGAAAAUCCAUCUCAAACCUCAACUUCAAUUCCAGGCACAAACACACCUACAGCGGCAACAACAACUGCAUUCCGAAUAACAACUGCACCUCUAUCAACCACAACUAUUGCUUUCACUAAUACAGCUCCAGCUCUAAGCCAAGCAGGACUCCUUACCACAACAAAUGCACCUCCAAUUAUCACAACUGUGUCUCCGGAGACUGUAACUAUUGCUGUAACAAUUAUGCCUAUCUCAUCAUCACAUGUAACUAUAUCCCCAACUUUAACUCCAAUAAAAACAACUGAACCUCCAAGAACCCCAACUACACCCAUUACAACCAUGACUGUUCUUCCCACCACUACAGUUCCAGCUGAUAUCUCAACUACAGCUCCAACCACAACAACAGCCACUAUUCCAAGUUCAACUGCAGCUCAAACAACAACUGCAUUUCAAGUAACAACAGGAGAUCUUUUAAGAACAACUGUAGCUUUUACCAACACAUCUUCUGCUCCAGCCACACUUGCACUUUCAACCAAAACAACUCCAAUCCCAAACAUGGAUUCAGAAACUACAACUGCAUCAACAACUACAACUGGAAUUAAUACAGGUCUCACCAGUGCAGCAGAAUUUCCAAUAGCUCCAAUAACAUCAGUUUCAAACACAAAUGCAUCAACAUCCCCAGCAUCUACAAUUCCAAGUCAAUCAUCAAUCAAAACAACACCAGCUGAAACUCUUUCUAGCAAUACUACACCUCUAAACAAUGCAACAAAAGCAGAUGCAUCUGCAACACUUCAAAGUACUUCAAGUUUGCAACCAGAAACUUCAAACAUACCCAAAACAUUGUCAACAAAUGUGACUGGUGCAGCAACAGUCACAACCAUAUUGGUAUUCUCAUCCUUGUCGUCAGUGCCCAAUGAAAAUUUGGUCCUAGGUGCUAUCAGUACUCUUCUGGAAUCUAGACAGUCCCAACUCAAUGGAUCACUGAAGAUUGUAAAAUUUACUUAUCAGAAAAUCUCAGAAACCUCCUAUGCUGUGGUCUUUACAUUUAACGUGAUUAACAUCACCAUGCCAGAGGAACCUAAGUCUAGAGGCAACACCAACCAGAAAGUGCAGGAUACCAUCAAUAAUGCGCUGAACACUCUUCUGAAUGAACCUGGAAGUCCAAAUUUACAACCCAAGUCAUCAAACUUCACAAGCACUUCAAACCAGAUUGAUGGCAGGAUGGAAUACAGCUUCCAGGAUGGAGAUGUCAUACAACCAGUCAGCUUCCUCAAUGAGCUACGUCUACCAACCACUACAACAGUGUUUCCAGAAACAACAACCAGUGUUUCUGUUACUACUUCAAACCUCAUAUCUGGUUCAGCAGUGGUCACAAGCAAGCUGGUGUUUCAACUCCUCAUCUCCAGUCCCCAGUGAAUCUCUGGUCCUCAAUGCAAUCAAAACUCUGCGUAAUUCCAGAGAGUCACAGCUCAAUGAAUCGGUGAAGGUGGUGAAUGUCACCUAUGAGAAAAUGUCAGAAACCUCCUAUGCUGUGGUCUUUACAUUUAACGUAAUUAACAUCAGCAUGCCAAAGGAACCUGUGUCUAGAGGCAACACCAACCAGAAAGUGCAGGAUACCAUCAAUAAAGCGCUGAAUACUCUUCUGAAUGAACCUGGAAGUCCAACUUUUCAACCAAAGUCAUCAAACUUCACAAGCACUUCAAACCAGAUUGAUGGCAGAAUGGAAUACACCUUCCAGGAUGGAGAUGUCAUACAACCAGUCAGCUUCCUCAAUGAGCUUCGUUCACAGACAGUCUUAACGACAGCCAGCACUCUGACAACUACUCCACUGAUAGUGCGUGGCAAAGCGCUUAUAUUCAUUCGCCUCGUGUUUGUCACACUGGGCCCCCUGCCAAAUCCAGAGAAGGUUCUUGAGGUGGCCAACACUCUGCUUCAGACGCGUCUCAAAACUAAACAAGACACCAGUACUCAAGACCUGAGUGAUCCUGUGAGCUUUGUCAAUGUCACAUAUACAAAAAUAAAUGAGACGGCCUAUGCUCUCAACUUUGGAUUUGAAAUCAGCAAUAUAACCAUGACAGAGAAGCUUGAACUCAGGAAUGGCACCCACCUGUUAAUACAAGACUCUAUAAACUCAUUGCUGGGCAAGAUCCUUCUCAGUAACUCAUCAGCGCCUAUCAUUAAGUUCCAACCAGCUGAUUUCACGGGUAAUUCCACAGUAAUUAAGGCCAAUGUAGAGUAUGUUUUCUCACCAAGUGACAUCACGCAACCCAGCAUCUUUGUUCAGGAACUUCUCCAACUUAAUGAAGCGAGCACUCUGACAAGCACAACUUCACCACCGAUCUUGACUAGGAGGGCAAUUAUUAAGAUUCGUCUGGAGUUUAUCACACUGGGCCCAAGACCAAGUGAGAGUAAUGUUCUACAGGUGGUUAAAUCUAUGCUGGCCACAAAUCUCACAACUAAACUAACCACGAGAGUAACAAGCGUGAGCGAACCUGUGACCUUGAAUAAUGUUGUGUAUAUCGGAAUUAAUGACACCGCCUACGCACUGAUUUUUGCAUUCGAAAUGAACAAAGUAUUACUGACAGAGAUACAAAGGCAAGAAGCCUACAAAGAAAUCCAAAACAAGAUAAAUGAUUUGGUGAAGCAGAUACUAAAGGACCCCUCGGUUAAUCUGCUCAUUCCAGCCGAUUUCAAGGAUGAUCUCCUUGUGAUCGAGGCCAAUGUUACGUAUGUUUUCUCAGAACGUAACAGUAACACGGGCUCCGGUUUCUUGGUCAGUGCCCUUUUCAAGGCUUUUACCACACCAGCUCCAACCACCAUGAACACUACAAUCUCAAACAACAGUACUAAUGCAGCAUGGAUUGUGGCUAUCAUUGUCCCCUGUGCUAUUGUCAUCGGGCUCGUACCUUGCUGGAUUCUCCUUUGCUGUUUGCUGUGUGGUUGCUGUGCAGCAAUCAGAAGACGCUGGCACAGAAGACAGUCGUACAAUGUGCAGUACACCACUCGAAACAGUCUCUUCUAAAGAGUUCUGAGAUAUUUGACAAAAGCAGGACUGAAAACCAAUGAGAACAUAAAAAUCAUGGAUUUUGGAUAUUCAAUAUGCUAUCAAUACUGCUUCUUUUGUAGUAUUGAAAGUACUAUGUUAAUGCUUCUUUAUAAACUAUUUAUUUUAUUAUCCUAGACAAACAGGUCCUCCAUAAAAUAUUCCUUAAUGUGACAUUUUAAUACGUCCUAUAGUCUAUAAUGAAAUUGUAUUAUUGUUAUUUAUUUGUAUUUAUUUGUAAUAUUCUGUUUAUGUUUACAGUUAAUCUUUUGCAAAUCAUUAAUCUGCUUGACAUUACACAUUUUAAUUUAAAGGGACAAAAGGUAGAACAUUAGCUAUUAUUUAUUCAUACUCCAUGCACUUUAACUUUAUAAAUGUAAAGGAAGCUUGUGAUGUAAAGGAAAUGCAAAAAAAGCUCAUUUACGUAAGUCAUUGGCAUGAACAUGUUAAACUGAAAAAUAAAUAAGAAUAAAAACUGUAAUUAGACAAUACUAGAUCAAUAAAGAAU